GCCCGGGUGGCUGAGUGGUUAAGCAUCUGACUUCGGAUCAGGUCAUGACCUCACAGCUCAGUUCGUGAGUUUGAGUCCCACAUGGAGUG
rnacentral:tRNA from 1 species